rnacentral:lncRNA from 1 species
AUGAAGAAAAAGAAAGACGCAGAGAUGGAGUCGGGAGCCUCCCAGAGAGACUGCCGCCGCCACUUUUUUAUUCUCCUCCCCUUUUUAUCACAGGUGAGUUUGGUUGUUCAUCAUGACCCUUACCCAAAGACACCUGCUUCCUUGUUCUCUAAUUCUUUGGAAAUUCCCCACCCUCAUGGGCUUUCUUGUUUCUCGGGUUUACAAAACGUCCAUCAUGUUCCAGGACAAUUUCUGAAGGCGAGGAGGAAGAUGGACCUCAGUCACGCAGCGGGGGAAAUGCAAUCUGCCAGCGCGAUGUCAUCUGGGGCUCCAGGGCCCCGUGAGCCCCCUGAAAGCUGCCCUCACUCCUCUUAAUGCCCCCUCACCCUCUUUUCCGUUGCAGCGAAAGCUGGCAUUUUCCCGCAUUUACUCAGAGAAAGGGGGCCCAGCUUGGUUCUGAGAAACACUGCCAUCUGGUGGUGGAUUUUUGCCAUGUCAACCUGCGGUCCUAUUUCCUUUGUUACAAGGCAAGAUUUGCUCCUUGAGAAUUCACUGACUCAUCACUGAGUCCCUGUGUGACAGGAAAGGUGCUGGGCGACGGGACACAGCGGCGAACAGGAUAGACGGGAGCCUGCCUGUGGGGAGCUGACGUCCCAGUGGAGGAGGCUGGCCUGGCAGGGACGCUGCAGACCGCACUCACGCACUGGCCAGACAGCUGGGCCAAAGGACAUCACGGAUGAUGCCCGGCCCUGCCCACUGGGCAAGUGAGACGACAAUUUGCAGAAAAAUAGGCAGAUCGGGAUGGGGAUUUAGCUCAGUGGUUCCAGCGCCUGCCUUGCAAGCUCAAGGUCCCUAGUUUGAUCUCCAGUACCAAAAAAAAAAAAAAAAAAGGAAAAAGAAAGAUAGGCAGGUGUCACCCUACACUUCCUGUACCCGUGUAAGGAAGCACCAUGUACCUGUGCCGGGGACUGGCCCCUGUGUGAUUAUCCAUGCCAUGCUAGCUCUUGACCUGCUGUGUUUUUUUCUCAAACACAGAUCACUAGUGGAAAUCGUAUCAGUAUACACAAUUGCUUACUGUCUAUUUUCUCCACCAAAUGUCAGCUCUCUGAGAGCAGGGACUUCAUCUGCUUUGCUCCUCUGUGUUCACAGUGCCUCUCACAGUACUCUGCACACAGUAGGGCCUAAAUAGUUGUCACAUGAAUACACACAGACAGACCCUGUAGUACCCAGCACUUAGGGUACACUUGCCUGGUGCUCUGCACUUGUUAUGCAACAACCUUGUGAGUCAGUUGUUUGAAUCCAGGUUUGUCUAACUCCAAUCCUGGGCCUGACAUCUGUAUGGGCCCUCUCAAGCCUCAGUUAGAGGAGGGGCUCAUCUAUGAAUUUAGGAAAGACAAUGACAGGUUGGAGCAGAAGUUCGGGAGGAAAUGAUGAGCCAGGCCCUGGGGGCCGGAAGCACGAUGGCCACACCUCCGCCUGCCUUUGAUUUGGGCAGAAGCAAGUAGCAGCCCAGCUCCUGGACUGAACAGAAUGAUGUGUGUGAGCCUCUUGGUCCAGCACCAAAGACAUAAUAGGUGGCCUUGCGAGGCAGUGAUGAAAGCACUCGAUGACCCUUGGGUGUGAGAGGUUGUUUCUGCCCUGCCUGCCUGCUUCCUGCCCUUGUUCCCUCUCUCCUCCCUUUCCUGUCUAGUUUUCCCUUCCUUCCUCUGGAUGUUUCAGUUCUGCCAAGAUGGUCAGGUUGAAGGACGAUCUGCUCUGAGAAAAAACAUGUUAAACCUUUGAGCUUUAUGCGAAGAAGAAAUGACUCCCCGAGAUGCCAGAAGCAGGGCUGUUCUGUAACACAGUAGCCCCCAGUUUGAGAUGCAGCCCCCGUUCCCAUAUUGCUGAACCAGUCUAUGUCUACAGCUGGCCAGCACGAUCCCCGGGGGCAGACCUCCUCUUUCCUGUUCCUGACGUGUCUCCAGCACCCAGGAUGGUGCCCAGCGUGCAGCAGAUGCUUGGUAAAUAUUUGUGGUCUGAGUGAAGGAAUUCUGACCAUGAUGUCUGUGGGUGUGUACCCCUCUGUCAAGACUCAAGGGGGCACCUGUACAAACUGUCUCUCUGGGGAGCCCAGAUUCUGUAGUUCGGCCAGAUGGCCUUUCCCUGUCUUGGUCCCUCAGUCCUGAGGGAAAGAUCCCAGGGGCCACAUCAUCCGAAAGUCCCUACUGUGGAAGGCACACGGAACAUCUCAAGAACCGGGCUUCCCAGACCCUUCCCUCUUUUCUGAUGAAACAUUUCCGAAUGUGCCAGUGUAGAGAGAAUGAUACAGCAAACCCUCAUGAGAUGCUCAGAAACAAACUGUGGCGUCACCGGACUGUCUGCUUCCCUCCCACAGUCCCCUGCCUUGUCACUCUCCUCAGGGGUUGUUACUUUGCUGAAUGGGCCUUUGGGAUUCCUAUGCAAUUGCGUGCAUUUGCAUAUGUAAACGUAGCGUGCAGUACAUUCUGUGAUUUGCUGGUGUUCUAUAAAAUAGCCACAGACAUUGAAUGAAUAAAUACUGAAACUUUGCUCCCAGGGGAAAUAUGCACACAUGUCUUAUCUAGAUUAUAAUCUUAAACCUCGAAGCAACUCAUCCUGGUAGAUUCUAUUUUUUGUAUUUUACAGAAGAGUGUUAAGAGGUGUCUCCGGGCAUGGUGGCACAUGCGUGUGAUCCCAGCACUCGGGAGGCCACAGGGAACAGGGAACUUCCGCAUAACCAAGGGAUGACCUCCCUUUGUUGGUGACUCUCUGCCUAGUUAAGGUCUUUCUGCCCCACCGGUUUCAUGGUCAGAUGUUCCAGUCAGACAGGGGCUUCCCGAAAGCGGUGACUCCAUCCCCCCUGACCGAAACCUGUUGCUACAUACCCCAGCCCCAAUCCCCCACCCCCACCAAUGGACCAGUGCUCUCCCACCUGCAAGAUCCCUAUAUAAGCUUCCGGCUCAGCCCAUGCAGUUGCUGGUCUCCAUUCUGUGAGUCAGCCCGGCAGGCUGCAGACUGCCGCCCCAAUAAAGCUUGCUUGAACGUCUGUGUGUGCUCCCCUUCUUCAGAGACCCUUUCAGUUUAUAUGUCACAUCUAAUUGAAAGCUUAAGGCCAUGCAAUCAGGAGGAUAC